UAACCAUAACAAGAAUAGAAAGACCUAGAAGCAACAAUACAGAGAAGAUUAGCAAGCCCCCUGAGCAAGGAUGACACACAAAUUCGUGAAGCAUUCCAUAUUUUA